rnacentral:misc_RNA from 1 species
UCUCCCUCUCGUCUUCCUCUUCUCUCGACCUCUCUCUCUUUCGUCCUCCUCGCUUCCCCUCUCGUUUUUUUUAGCGACCUCCAAUCAGCAGAACCAAACCAGCAGCCCUAUCAGCGAGUAGCAGCAGCGCCAGGAUGAGCAACUAUGAAGCAAACGACAAGCUCAAACGAUGGGUAACAGGAAGCUCCGGCGUAGUUCAAAUAUUUUGUGGUCGUUUGUAGACGGAUCUUAACAGAUCCGCCCGGUUUGUUUUUAUUUUUUUAAAAUUUGUUAUUAACAUUUUUUGUGCAAUGCCCAGAUUAUCUUUUCUUUUACAUGUUUUAGGCGAAUUUCAUCUUAAGUAUGAAUUCGUUCAUUUGUUUUUGCCAUUAUUUGAGUAGCAUUAUGAUUUUGUUUCUAUCUCUUUUUAAGAUUAGUUUCUUUAUAUAUGG